UGAACAGUGUAAACAUUCAAAUGAAUUUAGUAAACAGCGGCUAUUUUAAUAUUACAAACAGACACACCAAUUCUAUUUAGUUGUAUAGAUAAUUAUUUGAUAAUU